GCAAGUCGAACGAGAACGGAUUUAAGUUUACUUAAAUUGUCAGCUAAGUGGCGCACGGGUGAGUAAUAUAUAGGUAACGUGCCCUAGAGAAGAGGAUAACAUUUGGAAACGAAUGCUAAUACUCUAUAUGCCUUUAAGACAAAAGUCUGCAAGGGAAAUAUUUAUAGCUCUAGGAUCGGCCUGUACGGUAUCAGCUAGUUGGUGAGGUAAUGGCUCACCAAGGCAAUGACACCUAACUGGUUUGAGAGGAUGAUC
rnacentral:rRNA from 1 species